UACGGCCACGUCGCAUUUAAACACCGGUUCCCGUACGAUUACUGAAGUUAAGCAACGUCGAGCCUGUCAAUACCUAGAUGGAUGAUCACUUGGGAAUACCGAGUGCUGUA